rnacentral:rRNA from 1 species
GGAAGGGAUGUAUUUAUUAGAUAAAAAACCAAUGCCCUUCGGGGCUCCUUGGUGAAUGAUAAUAACUUAACGAAUCGCAUGGCCUUGCGCCGGCGAUGGUUCAUUCAAAUUUCUGCCCUAUCAACUUUCGAUGGUAGGAUAGUGGCCUACCAUGGUGGCAACGGGUAACGGGGAAUUAGGGUUCGAUUCCGGAGAGGGAGCCUGAGAAACGGCUACCACAUCCAAGGAAGGCAGCAGGCGCGCAAAUUACCCAAUCCCGACACGGGGAGGUAGUGACAAUAAAUACUGAUACGGGGCUCUUUUGGGUCUCGUAAUUGGAAUGAGUACAAUCUAAAUCCCUUAACGAGGAACAAUUGGAGGGCAAGUCUGGCGCCAGCAGCCGCGGUAAUUCCAGCUCCAAUAGCGUAUAUUAAAGUUGUUGCAGUUAAAAAGCUCGUAGUUGAACCUUGGGUCUGGCUGGCCGGUCCGCCUCACCGCGAGUACUGGUCCGGCUGGACCUUUCCUUCUGGGGAAUCUCAUGGCCUUCACUGGCUGUGGGGGGAACCAGGACUUUUAC